rnacentral:rRNA from 1 species
UCGCCGAAAGCGCAAGGUUUCCUACGCAACGUUCAUCGGCGUAGGGUGAGUCGGCCCCUAAGGCGAGGCAGAGAUGCGUAGCUGAUGGGAAACAGGUAAAUAUUCCUGUACCGAUCAAUAGUGCGAUGUGGGGACGGAGAAGGUUAGCUCAGCCAACUGUUGGAAUAGUUGGUUCAAGCGUGUAGUCGUGCUCUUUAGGCAAAUCCGGAGAGCUUAGAUGAGGCGUGAUAACGAGUCUGCUUGCAGACGAAGUGAGUGAUACCUGCUUCCAGGAAAAGCCACUAAGCUUCAGCUAUUGACGACGUACCGCAAACCGACACUGGUGCGCGAGAUGAGUAUUCUAAGGCGCUUGAGAGAACUCUGGAGAAGGAACUCGGCAAAUUGACACCGUAACUUCGGAAGAAGGUGUGCCUCUAGUAUGUGUAGAGAUUUACUCUCGAAGCAGAAUGGGGCCGCAGAGAAUCGGUGGCUGCAACUGUUUAUUAAAAACACAGCACUCUGCAAAGACGAAAGUCGACGUAUAGGGUGUGACUCCUGCCCGGUGCUGGAAGAUUAAAUGAUGGGGUGCAAGCUCUUGACUGAAGUCCCAGUAAACGGCGGCCGUAACUAUAACGGUCCUAAGGUAGCGAAAUUCCUUGUCGGGUAAGUUCCGACCUGCACGAAUGGAGUAAUGAUGGCCACACUGUCUCCUCCAGAGACUCAGCGAAGUUGAAAUGUUUGUGAUGAUGCAAUCUCCCCGCGGAAAGACGGAAAGACCCCAUGAACCUUUACUGUAGCUUUACAUUGGACUUUGAACAGAUCUGUGUAGGAUAGGUGGGAGGCUUUGAAGUGAGGACGCUAGUUCUCAUGGAGCCAACGUUGAAAUACCACCCUGGUGUGUUUGAGGUUCUAACCUUGGUCCCUUAUCGGGAUUGGGGACAGUGUAUGGUGGGCAGUUUGACUGGGGCGGUCUCCUCCCAAAGUGUAACGGAGGAGUUCGAAGGUACGCUAAAUACGGUCGGAAAUCGUGUUGAUAGUGCAUUGGCAUAAGCGUGCUUGACUGCGAGACUGACAAGUCGAGCAGGUACGAAAGUAGGACAAAGUGAUCCGGUGGUUCUGUAUGGAAGGGCCAUCGCUCAACGGAUAAAAGGUACUCUGGGGAUAACAGGCUGAUACCGCCCAAGAGUUCAUAUCGACGGCGGUGUUUGGCACCUCGAUGUCGGCUCAUCUCAUCCUGGGGCUGUAGCCGGUCCCAAGGGUAUGGCUGUUCGCCAUUUAAAGAGGUACGUGAGCUGGGUUUAAAACGUCGUGAGACAGUUUGGUCCCUAUCUUCCGUGGGCGCUGCAAGAUUGAGAGAGCCUGCUCCUAGUACGAGAGGACCGGAGUGGACGCACCUCUGGUGUAUCGGUUGUCACGCCAGUGGCAUCGCCGAGUAGCUAAGUGCGGAAGAGAUAACCGCUGAAAGCAUCUAAGCGGGAAACUCGUCUCAAGAUGAGUCUUGCCGGGGCCUUGAGCCCCCUGAAGGGUCGUUCGAGACCAGGACGUUGAUAGGCUGGGUGUGGAAGCGCAGUAAUGCGUUAAGCUAACCAGUACUAAUUGCCCGUGAGGCUUGACCCUAUAACUUUG